ACGGAUUUUAGUAGUCUGGCGUCUGUUUUUCACUGCUUGCUGUUCACAUUGACUGAACAGCAUUGUCACACUGAGACUAUGACACAAAUUCCAUCUUGACUGAAGAGCUUAGGGUUUGAGGCAUAAUAUGGCCAACACUUUACAAGCCUAUGGGUCCACCAACACUCCCAGACUUUUCUGAUCACCCUCCCUGCAUUUGCAAAGCUGAACCAAGAAAUUAGCUCUGAAUGGGGUCUUCCUUCGACACCCACAAACCUCAUCCUUGUGACAUAAACAAUGGCCAAAGCCCAGCCUGAGAGUCUGGCUACUCAGUCCAGAGUGAAGACACAGACCUUAGGGAACGGAGAGUCCCAUGGACAUUAUAGUCCAGUUUAGAGAUGACGCAACCGAGGUUGAGCAGCUGCCUGAGGUCGCAGAUGGCGAGCGGUGGCACCCGGAUCAGAGCGCAGGCACGCUGCUCCGACGCUGGCAUGUCAGCCAUCAAGCAGUUCAACUUUCUCUUCAGUCUGAGCAUUUCCAGAGCCCAACAGCCCUGUGGACUUCUGUUCCCAUGACCCUUCAUCUGUGGACUGAGUGAACACAGAGUCUGGAGGACGGAGCAAAGUAUUUCUCUGUUCCUGUGCAGUUUCCUCUUGGAUGGGAAUGAGAAUGGAAGGAGCAAGUGGAUGAGACGGAGACAGAGGACCCCAAACGGCUGUACCUCACCCUGCUAGCCGAAACUCGAAUCCUCAAAAUCUCCUUAGGUUCAGCAGAAAUUCCUUUCCUAUGGAUCAAGUCUGCACUUUGAAACCCACAGAGAAGGGACCAUCUCUUUCCAAUGACAACCCUUAGGCAUCUGUUCUAGAGGAGAAAACUCCCUAUUUCCUCUAUACAUAUGUUCAUUCUAGGAUGCCAGUUUCCAGGCCCCCAUCAUCCUGAUCAUUCUGCUCUGAUUCACUCAAGCUUGC
rnacentral:lncRNA from 1 species